AACCUUUCCUACAUCUCCCUUGAUACAGAUUAAGCCAAUUACUCCUUGUCCUACCUUUAGUGGACACGGGGAAGAAUUGAUCACCAUUCUCUCUGUAACAGCCCUGAACAUACAUGAACACUGUCAUCAGGUCCCCCUUCA